CAUCACUACAUCGAAAUCUAUAUUUGAUUGAUUACCAAUUAAGCUUUGAAUCUGAUUAAUUCAGUGUAACGAUUAAAAAUAUUGAUUGAGAAAAGAAAAAGUUUUUUUUUAAUUGGAAAAAAAACUAAACUCAAAUUUCCCGCUUUUCCAAAAUUUUCUCUCUUAUUUUGACUCACUUUUCUCUCUCUCUCCCUUUUACUGUUUCUCUUUCAUUUUCUGUGUUUGUGUUGAUCGUUUCAUCUUCAUCCUCCUCCUACUUCAUCUCUCUCUUUUUCUCUCUCUCCUUUUCUCUUUCUUUUUUUCUCCCCUUGUCUUCAUCUUUCAAUUCUCAACAUCAUCAUCAUGUUCAUCUUCAUCUUCAGUUUAAUCUUCUUCCUCUUUCUUGGGUUGAUAUUUUCUUAAAUACUGAACCAGAUUCUUCCAUAUCAAGUCCACCAGAAUCAAAAUUAUCUACAUUGUCAACUAUAUAAGAAUCAACCAUCUUCCACUCUGUCUCUGUGUCUCUCUUCCUCUCUCUCUCCAUAUUUUCUGAUGUUAUCAUGGUGUUAAUGGUUUAACGGAAUCUUCUCAACCCAAUAUUCAAAAUACAUAUAUUCCAUUGGAUUUUUAUUCCUGAUUUCCAGUUACUAUUCUAAAAUUGUUGUUAUAUAUAUUUACCAUUGGAAAUAUUUUAUCAAUUCUAAAAUAUAUAUUGUGUAUCCUAAGGAAAUUCAUUUCUCUUCCAGACUUUCUUUGGAUCAACCAUUCGAAACGUGAUUAUAAACGGAUUAGACUCUCAUGAAAGAUUUAUUAACCAUAAUCAUCUUUACUGUGAUUAGUUGUCACCAUUGACUAUCUCUCUCUCUCUUUUAUGUGAAAUCUAACGAGAGUAAACGUCUUCAAAAGAACUCGAAUCAUCACCUUCUAUCCUCUCUCUACCAAUUGAUUGAAUCACUUGAAAUUUGUUUGUCUCUUUAUUGUUAUUCAAAAACAAUUAACUUACCAGUUUUAAAUCUCACACAGAAGUUACAUUGAUGGUGUGUAAACGUGCAAUUGUGUUGACAAUGUAUCAACACGGGUAACAAUCAAAGACGAUUGGAAAAAGGAGAAAUCAAUUGAAUUUGUGUUUUGUGUUCUAAACCAAAUUCUCACCAUAUCAUCUUAUUUAUUCUAUUCUCUUUUUAUCUUCUAA